rnacentral:rRNA from 1 species
GGGGUUCGCCCCCGCCUCUCAACCCUGUGUAAAUCAUACCUAUGUUGCUUUGGCGGGCCUUGAGGUCAUGCUCAUGUUGGGCGUCAGCCCGGCGAGUGCCCGCCGGAAGCCCACCAAAACUCGUUUAAUUCAUGCGGUCAGAGUCUAAACACAAAUAAAGCAAAACUUUCAACAACGGAUCUCUUGGUUCUGGCAUCGAUGAAGAACGCAGCGAAAUGCGAUAAGUAAUGUGAAUUGCAGAAUUCAGUGAAUCAUCGAAUCUUUGAACGCACAUUGCGCCCCUCGGUAUUCCGGGGGGCAUACCUGUUCGAGCGUCAUUACACCUCUCAAGCGUAGCUUGGUAUUGGGCCUCGUUCCCUCAAAAGGGCGUGCCUGAAAAGCAGUGGCGGUCCGGCGUGGCCUUGAACGUAGUAAAUUUUCUCCCGUUCUGAAGGUCCGCGGCGCGGCUGGCCAGAAUUGCCCACAUUUUCAAGAAUUGACCUCGGAUCAGGUAGGGAUACCCGCUGAACUUAAGCAUAUCAAUAAGCGGAGGAAAAGAAACCAACAGGGAUUGCCUCAGUAACGGCGAGUGAAGCGGCAACAGCUCAAAUUUGAAAUCUGGCUCCCAAUCGGGGGUCCGAGUUGUAAUUUGUAGAGGAAUUUUCGGGUGCGGUACCGGCCUAAGUUCCUUGGAACAGGGCGUCAUAGAGGGUGAGAAUCCCGUAUGCGGCCGGCCUCCAAGCCCACAGGAAAAUCCUUCGACGAGUCGAGUUGUUUGGGAAUGCAGCUCAAAAUGGGUGGUAAAUUUCAUCUAAAGCUAAAUACCUGCCAG